AACGAACGCUGGCGGCAGGCUUAACACAUGCAAGUCGAACGCGUGCAGCAAUGCACGAGUGGCGCACGGGUGAGUAACGCGUGGAUAUCUGCCUUUUGGUUCGGAAUAACCCCGGGAAACUGGGGCUAAUACCGGAUGGUUCCUACGGGAUAAAGAUUUAUCGCCAAAAGAUGAGUCCGCGUCCGAUUAGCUAGUUGGUGAGGUAAUGGCUCACCAAGGCGAUGAUCGGUAGCUGGUCUGAGAGGACGAUCAGCCACACUGGGACUGAGACACGGCCCAGACUCCUACGGGAGGCAGCAGUGGGGAAUAUUGGACAAUGGGGGCGACCCUGAUCCAGCCAUGCCGCGUGAGUGAUGAAGGCCUUCGGGUUGUAAAGCUCUUUUGGCGGGGACGAUGAUGACGGUACCCGCAGAAUAAGCCCCGGCUAACUUCGUG
rnacentral:rRNA from 1 species